rnacentral:misc_RNA from 1 species
AUUGAAAAAAAUUCUUUUUGUUAAUUAGAUUUCUCAAAUAUUAUUAUUUAUUCUACUAUAAUUACUCAUGUAAGUGACGUCAAAAUGUUAAGAGUAUUUUUUUAGUGGUUUAGUGAGUUGUAAUGCAUUUACAAAUUAUAAAAUAUAAUGUAAGCCAUGAAAUUAAAUUACUUAGCCCAAUAGAAAUUUAAUUUUUUUUCAAUUUAUUUGUUGUUUGAGUAAUACGCAAAACAGUUGUUAAUAAAAAGAUGGAUAAGUGGAGUAUCUAUGACAGUAUGAAUUUAUCAACUUCUCCAUGUCACUAUGUAGCAAUUAGAAACACUAUUUUGAGUAGAAUAUCUGGUGAAUGUGAUCAAAGUGUCUGUACAUUGCGUCUUGGAAUGCUUGUUGAAGCUAAAGAGAUCCAAUCAGAUGGUGGGCUCAGGAUUCGUGUUAACGAUACGAAUAAUGCUGAUAUCUGGAAUAAAACAGAGUGGAAAUGUCACAGAAUUGAUUUAAUACCUGUACCACAAAUAGUAUGGUAUUUCUUAGCAGCUGUGCAAGCUCCAAAUGAAAGGGUUCGAUUAGCUACGGACACUAAAUUUUGUGAGGACGUUAGUAAUUUAAAAAUAAACAAUCAAGUUUGGUUCAAUCCAGAAUCGAAUUCAGCAAAUAAACAUUUAGCUGUAAUUAAAUUCAUAGGGGUAGUUUCAGAACUAGGUCCAGGAUUUUAUUUUGGACUAGAUUUAUUGGAUAAACCAGACAGUAUCCGAACAUCACUCGUGGCGAAAAAACAUUUUGCAGAAUCAUCAAACAAUAGCACCUUUGCUACACUCCUUAAUAUUCAACCAAUAAAUCAUGAUGAUAUUAACCAUGCAUCUUUCAAUGCUAAUGCUGAACUAUCAUCAAAUGAAAUUGAAUCGUCCUGGUCGAAAGAAUUAGAUGGUUUUGUUAAUAGCACUACCAAUAACCACACAAUCAAUGAUAAAGGCAUACGACAUGAAUCAAAUGUUGUUACUUCAAAACAACUAAUCAAUUUUGAAGAUAAAAAUAAUAAUAAUCACAAUAACAACAAUAAUAGAGAACCAGAAAGUUUUGGUUUUAAUGAUGCAUUACUACCGAAGAUUAUUCAUCAAUCAGUAAAGUCAAGUAUAUUACAUAGUGAUGAUGGAAUCAAUUUGAAGAAAAGUUUAAAUAAGUGUAAUUUCAUUCCAAUAGAUAAUUUAUUAACAAAAUAUGAUAACAAUCAAAUGAUUCGAAAAGGCAAUGACAAACCUUUUGAUUUGGGAACCAAAGUUGAAGUUCUUGUGGGUUCUGAAUUACGACAUGGAAUCAUUCGAUGGAUCGACAAUGUACCGGGAAGUAAUCCUGGAAAAAUUAUGGCAGCUAUCGAGUUUAAAGAUGAGCCUGACUUACAAAACACAGAUGAAGUAUACAAUGAGUUAAAACAUUUUAAUAUUAAAUUAAAUAGAGCAUGUUACGGAGAUUCUGAAACUUUUAUACAACCUAAUAUAACAUCUAAAGACGAUUCAUUAUUAAGAAUCAAUGAUGAUAAUUUAAGUCAAUCUGAAAAUUUGAUAGUUAAAGGUAUUGUAAAACCUAUAUGUGUCGAAGAUGGUCUUGAAAAUAUAUGUGGUAAAUAUCGUGGCAUUCAAGGCCAUCAUAAUUCAUGUUAUUUAGACGCUACAUUAUUCUGUAUGUUUGCUUUCACAAGUGUUUUUGAUAACUUGCUUUUCAGACCUCCAACUGAGAAAGACUGCGCACAAUAUGAACAAGUACAGCGAGUAUUACGAGAAGACAUCGUAAAUCCUCUACGAAAGAAUGUUUUUGUACACGCGAAUAGUGUAAUGAAACUACGAACAUUACUUGAAAAAUUGUCAUCAGUAUCUGGUUUAACUAGUGAAGAAAAAGAUCCGGAAGAAUUUCUCACUUCACUAGUUGCUCAAAUAUUAAAUGCAGAGCCUUUUUUAAAGUUAAGCUCUGGUCAAGAUGCGUAUCAUUAUCAACUUUUUGUUGAAAAAGAUGAUCACUUAAACUUACCUACAGUCCAACAAUUACUCGAACAAAGCUUUUUAACGAGUAAUAUUAGACUAAAAGAGGUUCCAUCAUGCUUAAUAAUACAAAUGCCGCGUUUUGGAAAAUCAUAUAAAAUGUACUCAAAAAUUCAGCCUACACUUUUACUUGAUGUCACGGAUAUUAUCGAAGAUUGUAGACUCCAAGACAAUGUACAAUCUGUGGAAAGUUAGCUGAAUAUGAAUGCAAAGAAUGCUAUGGUCAACGGGGAUUAGGUUUAGAAAGUAUUGCAUUUUGUACUUCUUGUUUAGAUCAAGUACAUCGACAUGAAAGAAGAACAAAUCAUGCAUCUACAAAAUUGAACGUACCCACUGAAUUUAAA